AAGCAUGUGUGUGGUGGUGGCUGUGAAGCUCUGUCUACCUUAAAAUGAAAGAUUUUUAAAUUGUCGCCUCUUUUUAACUCUGUUUUGCUUGUCAUUGUAAACUCUAAAUGGUCAACAUAAAGUUCGCAGAGUAUAUUUUAACAUGUAUUUCAGAGGUACUACCUGGAUUAUCAGGAUAGAUGAAGCACUACAAUCUCUUAUCGGAAAAUGGAAAUAUGGAUAUUUAUAUUUUGCAUAUUUCAUCACUAGUUUCCAUUUUAUGUAAUGGGUAUUUUCCUUGCUUAUGGGGAAAGAAGCAAAACAACAGAUUUCUUUUAUAGCUUUGUCUACAUCCUCUCUGAGAGAGAAUUUGAUAACCACUAAAAUGGUAGAUUAUGUAAGAUGCAAAUACUAAGUUGUCUGUCACAUUGCCUUUUAAGAUGAGCAUGAUAUAUCUUAACACCCAAAUGAGAGUUGACCUUCAAAGCAGUUCUCUUUGGAACAUUGUUUAUUUCAGCUCCGUUACAAAGUAUGUUUCUGGAACUUUGUCCUAUGUCAUAGGUGCUUUGAGGGUUGACUUACGACCGUGUAAGAAGAAUCAGUUUCAUAUUUUUAAUAGCACAAAAACAAUUUUUUGAAGCUUAGUAGAAACUACAUUAACUACCAAACCACGCCCACUAACUUUGCUGUUAACCAGGCCAGUGUGGAAAGCAAGGGUACAUUUUAGGCUCUGCUGAGACGAGGGCUACAGAUACUGACUGCGUCAGAGAAAUAUAGGUUCCGGAUGUUACUGUUGGAAGUUGGAACCGUUAUUUACAUGUGAGAACCUUUUUAUUACUUUGUAUUUAUAUAGAACUUUAAAACCAAGGUCUUUCUCUAGAACUUGAUUUCUAUUAUCUCUCUUUUCCCUUCUCCCCCUAAAACUUUUGUAUUGUGUUUGGAUAGUUUUUUUGUUUGAGAGGAUAGUAUGGAAAAUGGAUACAGUACUUAGAACGGCAGUUUAAAGAAACAAAGCCUUUACCUCCAUUGUUUUAUAUUUUGUUUUGAACAUGUUUUUCUUUCGAUUUUUCUUUAAUGAAAAACUGGAGAUUGAUGUAUAGGGAAAUUGGAAAUAAUUUUAUUAUUAUGCCAAAUUUUAGCCUACCUAUCAUUAAUAACUAUUAAAAGUUAUGUAAGUAUUCAAAGCAUAUCAUUAAAUUCUGAUUGUCUUUUGAAAAUAUAUUGGAUCAAAAGUUUAUUUGUAAUUUGGAUUGUGAUUGCAUACUAGCAAAACAUCGUAUUUUGAAACUUACUAGAUAUAUUAAAGAACAUGCUAGUUAUAAACUCAGCUCAGUCUUUAAGCAUCACUCCUAAUGUACCUUACACAUUACUGUUUUGCGGUAAUGUAGAGAUGUCCAUGUCCAUAGGAGCUGUUGUUACCAGUGUGAUUGUAUAUGAGGUCACAUAUGAUCUGUUUCAAGAUUCCAUAGGAAAGUUCAGUGUUAACAAAUAUGCAAAGAAUUCUGAAUGCAAAUGGUUUGAAAUUUUAAGGCUUUCCUAAGUAGUUAUUCUAAGAGAAUUCAUUUUGAAGGUAUAAGACUGCUCUCUGUCUAUCACUCAUAGUAUGAUAAUUUGUAUUCUGAUAAAAGAAAAAAUGCAAAUUAAAAUAUUGGGCCACCUUGUAUGUGUGGUACAAACUCCUCCUCUCCCCCUUCACUCCCUCCUUUCUCUUUUGAGUAUCGUGCUGCAUAGUAGAAAGCUUUGCGAUAAAAUCUCAGACAACCAGGAAGCGAAAUCACUGGCCUUUAAGAUUUGUGUUUUCCCACUCAUGUCUGUGUCAUGUGCACAUACAUACCUGCUCACAGGCACUCAAGGCUGAGUUUACAGUUCACCAUUGUUAGAGAUUCAUACAGGUUUUUGUUUGUUUGUUUGACAGUUUCUUUGUCACCAGAGCUGCAGUUAUUAGUGACAUAAUGUGACAAUUUCUUAAUUUCUCCUUCAUAAUUAUUCCUUUAUGGAAUUUCUUCUACUUUUGCACAAAUUUGAGUUUUAGUUUUGAUUUUGAAAUAAUUGUAUAAGUUGUAAAAUAGGUUAGUGUAUUUUCGUUUAAGAACACUCUCCUCCUUAAAUUGUCCUGCAGAAAUGACUAUAUUUUAGGGAAAAUAGUUUUUUACAGCUAUUAAACUGUAUUUGUUAUUUUUGUAUAUGCAUAACCAGGGUGGUGAGAUCACUAAUAUUUUAGGAAAUACCUUUGUUAUAUUUGAUUUUUUUCUAUACAUUUAAGUUAUUACUUAAAAUUAUUGGUAGAAAUAAUGUUGUGAAGACAGCAUAUAAGGAAUACUUAACGUCAGAAUAGAAAUCAUUUCUGAAGAUAGAAAUCAGAAAUGCUGCAGGUGCCAGGUAAUGGGAGCAGCAGGGCAGCAUUCUCACUGUGCAACUGCUUAAGACAUGCACGGAGACAAGAGUCCGCAGUCACGGGGGACAGGUUCUCUAGUAAGAUAGUUAGAUGGGCAAAAAUAUCUAAAAUAUGAAAUGCAACGUAGGCGCCAUAUUGUAAGUUGUGCCAAGAUUAUGCAAAUUAGUUAUUGAUCAAAGUUGUUUCACUGUUGUUAUUUUAAAGGAAACACUGAAUGUCAGAAAAUCUGUAAUAUGUUUUAUUUGAUAGAUGUAAAUAAUGUAUACAGUCUUAUGUGGCAGAAUGGGAGGUAUUUACAUUUUAGGUUUUUUUUCUUUAGAAGAAAAUGUUUAUAAGGAAAAAAACCCUAAUAAAUACUUUUGUUUGGCCAUGAAUCCUGCCUUCGCAUUAGUUUAUUUUUACUGUAGGUAGUUUUACAAUGAAAACAUUUCAAAGAAAAGUAAAGGUAUUUAGAACAAAUUGAUCAUUUCAAAAUUUGUUAGGCAGCACUUUCAGUAAUUCUUACAACACUGGUAGUUACCAUCUAUGUACCACACAUACUAAAAUUCAGAAAUUGUAGAAGUCAUUGGCUCUCAGACUUGAAGGUUCUUAUAUGCCUGCAGUUAAAACUAAUGUUUUCUUUAGUGUGUACUAUUGCAGUGAGAGAAAAAAAAAAUGACAGCAAAAUAAUGUAAUAUUUAUGGACCUUUCAACUGAACUAAGAAAUGAUCCAUUUUAUCUUUAUUAUAAAUCAUUAAAUAAUAUUAGUAACAUUAGAAUAAUAUACCCUAAGAUCUGAAGUUAUAAAAGGAAAUGUAUAUUCCAGAGUAUUAUUAAAGUAUUAUUUGGAGAAUUUUAUGUUACAGGAAUUGUGCUUAGAUCUUAAGGUUGAAAUAUUUUGAAUAGUGGCUAUUGUCAAUCAUAAUGGACCACUGCCACACUACUCAGGAAGACAUUUAUGUGUGUGCAGGUCCACUUGUGUUAAUAGACACAGAAGGGGGGCUGGAGAGAUGGCUCAGUGGGUAAGAACACUAACUGCUCUUCAGAAGGUCCUGAGUUCAAAUCCCAGUAGCCACAUGGUGGCCACAACCAUCUGUAAUGAGAUCUGACGCCCUCUUCUGGUGUGUCUGAAGACAGCUACAGUAUACUCACAU
rnacentral:lncRNA from 1 species